rnacentral:tRNA from 1 species
GGGGCUAUAGGGUAGUCUGGUCCAUCCUCCCGGCUUUGGGAGCCGGGGACCCCAGUUCAAAUCUGGGUAGCCCCA